rnacentral:rRNA from 1 species
UUACACAUGCAAGUCGAACGGCAGCACGGGUGCUUGCACCUGGUGGCGAGUGGCGAACGGGUGAGUAAUACAUCGGAACAUGUCCUGUAGUGGGGGAUAGCCCGGCGAAAGCCGGAUUAAUACCGCAUACGAUCUACGGAUGAAAGCGGGGGACCUUCGGGCCUCGCGCUAUAGGGUUGGCCGAUGGCUGAUUAGCUAGUUGGUGGGGUAAAGGCCUACCAAGGCGACGAUCAGUAGCUGGUCUGAGAGGACGACCAGCCACACUGGGACUGAGACACGGCCCAGACUCCUACGGGAGGCAGCAGUGGGGAAUUUUGGACAAUGGGCGAAAGCCUGAUCCAGCAAUGCCGCGUGUGUGAAGAAGGCCUUCGGGUUGUAAAGCACUUUUGUCCGGAAAGAAAACCUCUGCCCUAAUACGGC